CAGCCGCCGCGGUAAUACCAGCCCCUCGAGUGGUCAGGACGUUUAUUGGGCCUAAAGCAUCCGUAGCCGGCUCUGCAAGUCUUCGGUCAAAUCCACCUGCUCAACAGAUGGGCUGCUGGAGAUACUACAGAGCUAGGGAGUGGGAGAGGCAGACGGUAUUCAGUGGGUAGGGGUAAAAUCCUCUGAUCCAUUGAGGACCACCAGUGGCGAAGGCGGUCUGCCAGAACACGUUCGACGGUGAGGGAUGAAAGCUGGGGGAGCAAACCGGAUUAGAUACCCGGGUAGUCCCAGCUGUAAACGAUGCAAACUCGGUGAUGCAUUGGCUUAUGGCCAAUGCAGUGCCGCAGGGAAGCCGUUAAGUUUGCCGCCUGGGAAGUACGGACGCAAGUCUGAAACUUAAAGGAAUUGGCGGG
rnacentral:rRNA from 1 species